UGUGUAGGCGGGGGAUUAAGUCAGUGGUGAAAUCCUACAGCUUAACUGUAGAACUGCCAUUGAUACUGAUUUUCUUGAGUAUAGUUGAAGUGGGCGGAAUGUGUAUUGUAGCGGUGAAAUGCUUAGAUAUUACACAGAACACCUAUUGCGAAGGCAGCUCACUAAACUAAUACUGACGCUGAGGCACGAAAGCGUGGGGAGCAAACAGGAUUAGAUACCCUGGUAGUCC
rnacentral:rRNA from 1 species